AUGUCUAAUUGUGAUCUGGUGGGGAAGAGAAGCUGGAUUGGCAAGGAAGAGAAGCUCCAGCCAGCGACAAGGAAGAGAAGUAAGACCCCAACGGCGGUGCUGAAUCAGAGAAGGAUCCAGCAGUGCAAUGCGGUGGCAGUGGAAGCGGCACGAUCCAGUAGUGCAUGGCGGCGGCGGCACAACAGGAGUAGUGCGCGGCCUCUCCUCCCCGACGGAACCGGCGCCCCACCUGCCUCUCUGAUGUCUUCUCUCUCCCUGGCUAUUUCCCCUAGAUGUGUUAGCACAGGAGUAGCAGCUCACCUCUCAAGGCCCCUCUCUCUGCUCCAUCGCAUCUGUGAUCCACUUCUAUAA
rnacentral:rRNA from 1 species